UACGUAGGUGGCAAGCGUUGUCCGGAUUUACUGGGCGUAAAGAGCGCGCAGGCGGUCGAAUAAGUCGAAUGUGAAAGCCCCCGGCUUAACUGGGGAGGGUCAUUCGAUACUGCUCGACUUGAAGGCAGGAGAGGGAAGUGGAAUUCCCGGUGUAGUGGUGAAAUGCGUAGAUAUCGGGAGGAACACCUAUUGCGAAGGCAGCUCGCUGGGACGUAACUGACGCUGAGACGCGAAAGCGUGGGGAGCAAACAGG
rnacentral:rRNA from 1 species